UGGCGGCAGGCCUAACACAUGCAAGUCGAACGGUAACAGGAAGCAGCUUGCUGCUUUGCUGACGAGUGGCGGACGGGUGAGUAAUGUCUGGGAAACUGCCCGAUGGAGGGGGAUAACUACUGGAAACGGUAGCUAAUACCGCAUAACGUCGCAAGACCAAAGAGGGGGACCUUAGGGCCUCUUGCCAUCGGAUGUGCCCAGAUGGGAUUAGCUAGUAGGUGGGGUAACGGCUCACCUAGGCGACGAUCCCUAGCUGGUCUGAGAGGAUGACCAGCCACACUGGAACUGAGACACGGUCCAGACUCCUACGGGAGGCAGCAGUGGGGAAUAUUGCACAAUGGGCGCAAGCCUGAUGCAGCCAUGCCGCGUGUAUGAAGAAGGCCUUCGGGUUGUAAAGUACUUUCAGCGGGGAGGAAGGGAGUAAAGUUAAUACCUUUGCUCAUUGACGUUACCCGCAGAAGAAGCACCGGCUAACUCCGUGCCAGCAGCCGCGGUAAUACGGAGGGUGCAAGCGUUAAUCGGAAUUACUGGGCGUAAAGCGCACGCAGGCGGUUUGU
rnacentral:rRNA from 1 species